GACAGAGGGUGCAAACGUUGUUCGGAAUUACUGGGCGUAAAGCGAGUGUAGGCGGUUUGGAAAGUCGGAUGUGAAAGCCCCGGGCUCAACCCGGGAAGUGCACUCGAUACUCCCAAGCUAGAGUAUCGGAGAGGUUGGCGGAAUUCUCGGUGUAGAGGUAAAAUUCGUAGAUAUCGAGAGGAACACCGGCGGCGAAGGCGGCCAACUGGACGAAUACUGACGCUGAGACUCGAAAGCGUGGGGAGCAAACAGG
rnacentral:rRNA from 1 species